AUGUAAAUUAGAAAUAGAGUAGGUCCAAGUACGCUACCUUGAGGGGUACCAUAAGUCAAUGUACUCUCGUUACUGAUGUAUUCGUCUAUUCUAACUCUCUGGGUACGCUCACUCAAAUAAUCUUUAAAAAGGCAUAGAGGUACACCUCUAAUCCCUAGAUUUUCCAUUUUCCGGAUAAGGAGGGGUACAGAAACCGUAAAGUAGUUUUU